AACGAACGCUGGCGGCAGGCUUAACACAUGCAAGUCGAGCGCCCCGCAAGGGGAGCGGCAGACGGGGGAGUAACGCGUGGGAAUCUACCCAUCUCUACGGAAUAACGCAUGGAAACGUGUGCUAAUACCGUAUACGUCCUUCGGGAGAAAGAUUUAUCGGAGAUGGAUGGGCCGGCGUUGGAUUAGCUAGUUGGUGGGGUGAAGUUCUACCAAGGCGACGUUCCAUAGCUGGUCUGAGAGGGUGAACAGCCACACUGGGACUGAGACACGGCCCAGACUCCUACGGGAGGCAGCAGUGGGGAAUGUUGGACAAAGGGCGCAACCCUGAUCCAGCCAUGCCGCGUGAGUGAUGAAGGCCAUAGGGUUGUAAAGCUCUUUCACCGGUGAAGAUAAUGACGGUAACCAGAGAAGAAGCCCCGGCUAACUUCGUGCCAGCCGCCGCCGUAAUAC
rnacentral:rRNA from 1 species